rnacentral:rRNA from 1 species
CGAAUGCUGACAUAAGUAACGAUAAAGCGGGUGAAAAGCCCGCUCGCCGGAAGACCAAGGGUUCCUGUCCAACGUUAAUCGGGGCAGGGUGAGUCGACCCCUAAGGCGAGGCCGAAAGGCGUAGUCGAUGGGAAACAGGUUAAUAUUCCUGUACUUGGUGUUACUGCGAAGGGGGGACGGAGAAGGCUAUGUUGGCCGGGCGACGGUUGUCCCGGUUUAAGCGUGUAGGCUGGUUUUCCAGGCAAAUCCGGAAAAUCAAGGCUGAGGCGUGAUGACGAGGCACUACGGUGCUGAAGCAACAAAUGCCCUGCUUCCAGGAAAAGCCUCUAAGCAUCAGGUAACAUCAAAUCGUACCCCAAACCGACACAGGUGGUCAGGUAGAGAAUACCAAGGCGCUUGAGAGAACUCGGGUGAAGGAACUAGGCAAAAUGGUGCCGUAACUUCGGGAGAAGGCACGCUGAUAUGUAGGUGAAGUCCCUCGCGGAUGGAGCUGAAAUCAGUCGAAGAUACCAGCUGGCUGCAACUGUUUAUUAAAAACACAGCACUGUGCAAACACGAAAGUGGACGUAUACGGUGUGACGCCUGCCCGGUGCCGGAAGGUUAAUUGAUGGGGUUAGCGCAAGCGAAGCUCUUGAUCGAAGCCCC